rnacentral:rRNA from 1 species
AUUGAACGCUGGCGGCAGGCCUAACACAUGCAAGUCGGACGGUAGCACAGAGGAGCUUGCUCCUCGGGUGACGAGUGGCGGACGGGUGAGUAAUGUCUGGGGAUCUGCCCGAUAGAGGGGGAUAACCACUGGAAACGGUGGCUAAUACCGCAUAACGUCGCAAGACCAAAGAGGGGGACCUUCGGGCCUCUCACUAUCGGAUGAACCCAGAUGGGAUUAGCUAGUAGGCGGGGUAAUGGCCCACCUAGGCGACGAUCCCUAGCUGGUCUGAGAGGAUGACCAGCCAAACUGGAACUGAGACACGGUCCAGACUCCUACGGGAGGCAGCAGUGGGGAAUAUUGCACAAUGGGCGCAAGCCUGAUGCAGCCAUGCCGCGUGUAUGAAGAAGGCCUUCGGGUUGUAAAGUACUUUCAGCGGGGAGGAAGGCGAUAAGGUUAAUAACCUUGUCGAUUGACGUUACCCGCAGAAGAAGCACCGGCUAACUCCGUGCCAGCAGCCGCGGUAA